AACACAACGGCAAAUCUUUGGGAAACGAGACACACUGCAAGGCAUUUUUGGCAUUGGAUUCCCUUGGUCAGGCCCUUCUCCCUCAAGCCAACUUGCACCAUGUCGCCAUGGACGGUACGACAUCAUGAUAGAGCAGGGUCUGGGCGCACCAUCAUCUGAGGUCGGCCCUCCAAUAUCCAUGGCAGAAAGAGGAGAUGACCCCGGAGCCGGAGAAGGCUAGCUUCGCGGAAGGCCCCAUGGCGCAGCGAAUGUUACAAUUGUGCACGCGGCAACCCUUAGCUCGAAUGGAUCUAAAUCAGACUCAAUCCAGUAAAUUUGGGGCUUUGCCCCCAAUCCUGGAGCCAAUCCUAUGGUGGAAUAUGGAUCCAGAACGUCACACUAAUGGAUUUUAAUGACACGAUGGUACAAGAAUUUUCCAUGGUAAAUGAGGAGGAUCAAGGAAGACUGGAAGAACCUUCUAUUUCAUUUUGGUGGCAGAGACAUAUUUCUGAUAUAGUUGCUAAUCAUUUAGUGUGAUCUUCACCUUAUGAUUCACAACGGAUCACAUUUUAUCCUCUUUCCACUUUUUUCCUAGAGUUUUAGAUCUGAUGUGUACAUAUUGGAUUAUAUGCUCGCCUCUCUAUUUUAGACAUGCCAUGUGCAUGAGUGAUUGGAAACAGUUCAUGUAUUUGGUUUGCAGAAUGUUUUGAAAUAUAUUGGAUGCCAGAAAAUAAUGUGGGAAAGUCAAGUGUAAUAUGUGAGUUAUUUGAACAUUAUGAAUUUCUAAAUAGAAUGAAGAAUAGUUUGAGAUA